rnacentral:rRNA from 1 species
AUUGAACGCUGGCGGCAUGCCUACACAUGCAAGUCGAACGGCAGCAUGGAGAGCUUGCCCUCUGAUGGCGAGUGGCGAACGGGUGAGUAAAGCAUCGGAACGUACCGUGUAAUGGGGGAUAACGUAGCGAAAGUUACGCUAAUACCGCAUACGACCUGAGGGUGAAAGCAGGGGAUCGCAAGACCUUGCGUUAUACGAGCGGCCGAUGUCAGAUUAGCUAGUUGGUAGGGUAAAGGCCUACCAAGGCGACGAUCUGUAGCGGGUCUGAGAGGAUGAUCCGCCACACUGGGACUGAGACACGGCCCAGACUCCUACGGGAGGCAGCAGUGGGGAAUUUUGGACAAUGGGGGCAACCCUGAUCCAGCCAUGCCGCGUGAGUGAAGAAGGCCUUCGGGUUGUAAAGCUCUUUCGGCCGGGAAGAAAUCGCACAGGCUAAUACUCUGUGUGGAUGACGGUACCGGCAUAAGAAGCACCGGCUAACUACGUGCCAGCCGCCGCAGUAA